UGGGGGUGAGGUUGGGGGAGGGGGAAGCAGUUCUCCUGGGGGAGCAGGCCCAGCUGUCCAGCCCAGCUCCCACCAGACUGCAUCCUGGCCAGGCCUAGGGUCCUGCCAGGUGUAGGUGGCUAGUUUCCCUCCCCUCAGUGGCUUUCUGGGAAAGGAGAGGGUCCCUGCCUGGGGCCCCGUGGGGACAGAGGGUGGCUGGAUUAAAUUAAAAUCUUUACUUUGAUUGAGUUUUUGUCCUCUAGCUCCCUCAGCAGACAAUAGGGGGAUGGGGCUAUGGUGGCACAGAGGAUGGAUUGUGUAAGAGCCUGGCCCCUCCCUUCUGAGCCUCUGGCCUGAUGUUUGUCGACACUGCUUUGCAGACCUCCCCACGGAGCCCUUGUGACAGAGUUCUCGUUCCCACUUUACAGACGAGGGAACUGGGGCUGGCGUACAGAAGCCAUGGCACUGCCCACAGUGAGCCAAAGGGGAGGCUGAGCCCCGCUGAGGACACAUGGCGUGCCAGGGUCAGGGCGAGUUCCCUGAGGCCUGCUCCCCCCCAGGCCUGGAGGGGCCCCGGGCCCUGGACCAGAUGUUCCCACGGUGACCAUCCAUCUCACCCGCUGCGGUGAUGAGCUUGACAGGAAGCUGACGACCACCUGCAGAGACAGAGCCCCGAGCUGGUCAGCCAGAAAUGACGGAGGACACCCCACCCAGUUCACCGUUUUACGGAAGGGGAGGCGGAGCCACCCCUGGCUACCUGGGCCUUGUCGUCCUACCGAGCGCCACGCCCACUCUCCCCAAAGCCCCUCAGCCCAGAAGAUGAAGGAGGUGCCUGAGGGGGGCACCCAGUAGGCUGCUCCCUUUCCUGCCCCAGCUCUUACCUCAUUGUUGACCACACUUUCUGUCACUCUCAUGCCGCAGCUGGAGUAGGCGCUGUGCAAGACAAGCUGGUCGCCCCUGUCCUCAGCCUGGCAGCGGUGGUCCAAGAAGGUCAGGCUGCUGAUGUUGCACUUCAGAGACUAGGCCAGGGUUGGGGGACACCGUCAGGAGGCACCCGGCUCCCUGGGUCCUGUCCACCCAGCACCGAGGACGGAUCCAAACCCAGGGCCACAGCCCUCUGCUUCCCUCUCCGCUUUUGUUAGAUUUUGUCAUCCUGCACCAUUUAAGACGAUACCGUUCCUGAAUUUGACUUGCUUUUGUACCUAAUCUUGUCUUAAGCAAUAAAAUGUGCGACAUGGUGAGUUUGAUGUACUAUGUACUGUUUUCCUUCUAAUAUAUAUUAAAGUAAAUGCAGAACUA